rnacentral:rRNA from 1 species
CACGUAGGGGGCGAGCGUUGGCCGGAUUUAUUGGGCGUAAAGAGCUCGUAGGCGGCUCAGUAAGUCGGGUGUGAAAACUCCAGGCUCAACCUGGAGACGCCACCCGAUACUGCUGUGGCUAGAGUCCGGUAGGGGAGCAUGGAAUUCCUGGUGUAGCGGUGAAAUGCGCAGAUAUCAGGAGGAACACCUGUGGUGUAGACGGCUCUCUGGACCGCAACUGACGCUGAGACACGAAAGCGUGGGUAGCAAACAGG